ensembl:misc_RNA
AAGAUAACCCUAGAAAUGAAAGUCCUCUGCUUAUCCAUAAAACAGACACUGCGUAGGCAGUAGCAGGGCAGGUUACUUCCAUAUGCUGCCAGUGUACCUCUACCAUGGCCUGGAAGGAUCACGGAUAGGAGUGAGGGUGUAGUUCAGUCUUCAAGGCCCAUUCACUUUUGGCCUCU